CACCAUCAGAUAUGAGAACUACCCUAUCUGAUACACAAACAAUUUAUAACUCCAGAUCAGCUUUUGCAUGCCGCGUGUUAGUGUCUUUUUUUUUUUUUUUUUCACGUGUUCAAGAAGUUGGUGGUUCUAAUCUGUGUUAAAAUGUUGGGGGGUUUAAUUAGUCACGCCUUCAUGGUUUUAAAAUGUUUUAAUAAAUGGUUGGGAUCAGAUUUAUAGUGCAUAUAAUGCACUGAAAAAAUUAGGACCCAUUAAAAUUGAUUUAUUAGGCAAUUAAUUAUAAAUGAUUAAUAUGUUAUUUUGUAAAUAUGUAUUAACUAUUAAGUAUUAAUGAGAUUGAAAAUAUAAGAAUAUAUAUAUCAAAAUACUAAACAUUACACUUAUUAUGAACGAACUAAAAUGAUAAAAAGAUCAUAGUUCAGUAUGGAUAGAUCUGCAAAAGGCAAAAAAAAUACAUGCUAUUGCUAUAUUACAGACAAACUUAUCUUCUUACAACAGCUUCAACAAAUGAGUAAAGACUACUAGCAAGUACCGAUUAAAAAAAAAAACCGAAAAAAGGGCAUAUUGACUAAAAGAAACGAGCGAAAAAAUCAGAGAGACACAAAAUUAAUUGUCGAUUUUUUUUAAA
rnacentral:lncRNA from 1 species